rnacentral:rRNA from 1 species
AGAGUUUGAUCCUGGCUCAGGAUGAACGCUAGCGGCAGGCCUAAUACAUGCAAGUCGAACGGAUGUAGCAAUACAUUAGUGGCGCACGGGUGCGUAACACGUAACUAACCUACCCAUCAUUGGGGGAUAGCCCGCCGAAAGGCGGAUUAAUACCGCAUAAGCUAAUAAGGUGGCAUCACCUAGUUAUUAAAGAUUUAUCGGGNNNNNNNNNNGUUGCGGGUCAUUAGCUAGUUGGUAAGGUAACGGCUUACCAAGGCGACGAUGACUAGGGGAGCUGAGAGGCUGGUCCCCCACACGGGCACUGAGAUACGGGCCCGACUCCUACGGGAGGCAGCAGUAGGGAAUAUUGGGCAAUGGGCGAGAGCCUGACCCAGCCAUGCCGCGUGCAGGAAGAAGGCUUUCUGAGUCGUAAACUGCUUUUGACAGGGAAGAAUAAGCACUACGCGUAGUGUGAUGACGGUACCUGCAGAAUAAGCACCGGCUAACUCCGUGCCAGCAGCCGCGGUAAUACGGAGGGUGCGAGCGUUGUCCGGAUUUAUUGGGUUUAAAGGGUGCGUAGGCGGCCUUAUAAGUCCGGGGUGAAAGCCCGUUGCUCAACAACGGAACUGCCCUGGAUACUGUGAGGCUUGAGUACAGACGAGGUUGGCGGAAUGGACCGAGUAGCGGUGAAAUGCAUAGAUACGGUCCAGAACCCCGAUUGCGAAGGCAGCUGACUAGGCUGUUACUGACGCUGAGGCACGACAGCGUGGGGAGCGAACAGGAUUAGAUACCCUGGUAGUCCACGCCGUAAACGAUGGAUACUCGCUGCGAGCUAAAGAUUGUUCGUGGCUUAGGGAAACCGAUAAGUAUCCCACCUGGGGAGUACGCCGGCAACGGUGAAACUCAAAGGAAUUGACGGGGGCCCGCACAA